rnacentral:rRNA from 1 species
CCUACGGGUGGCAGCAGUGAGGAAUACUGGUCAAUGGCCGGAAGGCUGAACCAGCCAUGCCGCGUGGGUGUCGGUGCCCUAUGGGCGUUAAACUUCUGUUGUGCGGGAGCAAUGAUGGUCACGUGUGGCCAGACGAGCGUACCGUACGAAUAAGCAUCGGCUAACUCCGUGCCAGCAGCCGCGGUAAUACGGGGGAUGCAAGCGUUAUCCGGAUUUAUUGGGUGUAAAGGGUGCGUAGACGGAGAAGCAAGGUAGUUGUGAAAUCCCUCGGCCUAACUGAGGAACUGCAACUAAAACUACGUGCCUUGAGUACUGGAGAGGAAAGUGGAAUGCCUAGUGUAGCGGUGAAAUGCGUAGAUAUUAGGAGGAACACCAGUGGCGAAGGCGACUUUCUGGACAGUAACUGACGUUGAGGCACGAAAGUGUGGGGAGCAAACAGGAUUAGAUACCCCAGUAGUC